CUCCUGGUUUAGUUGUUCACUAGGGACGACUUGCUCUUUGGAUACGGUUUCAGCCUGCACAGUUUUAUCACCGGUAGAUUCUUCAGAAACAGCUUCUACUUCCUUCUCCUCUUCAGGUUUGUCCAAAGACUUAAUUUCUUCAGACACCUUGUAAGUUUCAGUAUCCUCGAUGACUUUGUGUUCU